GGCCUUCCAGUCUUGCCUUUCAUUCAAGUCUGCCAUUAUGGAGAAUCUUCAGUGAUUUGCGUUGAUUCUGUUGAUGCAUCCGGCUGUAUAUGAUUUCCCAAAAAUCAUGGGAGAGGUCCUGAUUUGCUUAUGGGAAGUUGAUCAUUUCCUUGUGCGCCAACGACUUCCUUUAGCGAGGAUUUCCUUCCUUAUUUGAUGCUUCAAUCUCGCUUCCAUGAUUGGAUGUUGUGGAAACUUGCC
rnacentral:lncRNA from 1 species